AAUCCUAGAUAUGAGAAAGGGAUACAGUAGUAUAUUGGCAAAUACUUUAGCUGGGAGAUUCUCGCACAAACAUGAUAGAAUUCUUUGACAUUGAUUUCGUAGAAACUUGCAAAUCCGAGAGACUACUGGUUUCGUGUUAAUCUGGUUCAUCUAAUGUGGCUUCUGUGGAGUAAAAGGCACUCAAUGUUGUGGAUAAAAGGAUCAUUAAUGACAUUUCUCAUUGCCUUUAGUAUGCUGGAAAUAAGAGCGUAGGGCCGAUAGUUUGAAGAACCACCUUUGGAAUGGAAUACAUUGUAGCAUAUUCAUUAAACCAGGAUAUACGUAUAUUCUGUCUUGCUUCUCGUAGUAUUUUAUUAAAAUCAGCAAAACGAUGUUAGUGUACUUUUAUUUAUUCAUUUAGCCAUUUCAAAUUUCCAUUGGCAUUGUUACAGAAAUCAAAUUUAAAAUUCUUUCUGUUUUCAUACCUUAUUAGUCAACCUUCACAAUCAAUUUCUCCACUUCUCCAUUCCAAAUUUAUUCGCUGUUAAUAUUGUUUAUAUUUACUUAAAACUCUAACAUAAUUCUUUGGGAAAAUAUGCUAUUUCAUUGGUUGACAAGAAACUAAGCAAAUAGUAUUCAAUAUUUUUAGACAAUACUUUUAGACAAUAACUUAACGAAGUACACUAUGUAAACAUGCAUAUAUGAGGAGACACAGACGUAGACACUUGAGUAAAUACACGCACACAUACUCUCAAUUGCUCUCGUGUACACUAUGUUUAAAGCGUGAUUUUAAGAAAAAUACGUACAGGUGCAUAAGAACAUAUAUAGUAAAAUUUUAGUUUACUUAAGCGAAAUAUUUAAUCACUGGGACUGUAUAACAAAAAAUAAAGUGGUUGGCGCAAUGAGGUUACGUCUAUGUGAAUUAAACAAACAGGAAUGAACUUCAUAUAGAUCACAUACAGAAAUAACAGAAUAAUUACCACGAGUUAGAUUAUAGGACUUCUACAGAUUUCGGUGAACGUUAACCUCGUCAGCCGUUGUUGAACUAAGAACAGUUACAAGUUUAGUCAAACAAUAUAGAGUAGUUGCAUAUAUCCGGAAGGAAUGAUAUUUAAAUCAAGCAACAUUGACCAAAUGAACGAAAUACUCAAUUAUAAAUAAUAUUAUGAGAUAAGGGUUCAGAGAUUCGUGCGGCUAUCACAAUAAACUCCUCGUACGGACUCGGCUAUCAGUCCACAUAGUUACAAAGUAGUGAAAUGUAAAGGGUUUAUCUGACUAAAAAUCCAGAAAAUCCGAGUGAUUAAAUUAUUCUGUGAGGAGUUAAUAAAAGCAUGAAGUCGGAAGAUAUGAAAGGUGAAUAUAUAUUAACCACGUGAUUUGCAUAGUAUUACGGCCGUUUCGCAACCUUCUCCAUGGAAGUCACAUGGUUACAUAAAUCUAUAUUCACCUCUCAUACUUCCUGACGUUAUGCAUUUAUAUACUCAGCACAGAAAUAUUUUAUCGCACGGAUUUAUACCUUUAUACAUAACACUGUUGGAUUGAAAAGAUGAAAAGAUUCACUGCGGUGGAGACAGCUAACGACAUGAAGAUAGAGCCAUUCGAACGAUGAUGAUUCCAGUUAUCGUAUCGAUCCAAUAAUAUUACAAGCAAAAGUUUGUCUUUAUUAUAAACUUGGCAUUAAGAAACUAAUAAUAAUAACUUUAUGUCAAUGAACGCGUGAUGGUAUCACAAAAUAUUUUCUAAAAAGAAUCUCCGAUGCAUUGUUUUGCUUUCUACAUAUAUCUCCAUGCAACUCUUUGGCCUGGAUUCUAUAACAAAUAGAGACCAUAUAUACAUACAUACAUACAUACAUACAUACAUACAUACAUAAGUAUAUGUAUAUAUGCAUGUAUGUAUGCAUAUAUGUAUGUAUGUAUGAAUGUAUCUAUCUAUCUAUCUAUCUAUCUAUCUAUCUAUCUAUCUAUCUAUCUAUCUAUCUAUCUAUCUAUCUAUAUAUAUAUUUAUGUAUGAGUGUGUGUGUGUAUACAUAUACAUACACAAAUAUAUUCAUAAUUUCAAUAAAAGCAGGUUUAUUGCCUCAAGACCAUAUGUAAUGCAAACAUACUUACACAUACAUCUAUAUAUGAAAUAUAUGUAAAACACACACACACACAUAUAAACAGAUAUACGCGCAUACUUUAUAAGAUGUGCGUGCUUUUAUGUUUAAAUGCAUAAAUAAAUAUACACGCAUAUUAUGCAACUCGUGCACAUAUUUUCAGACAUACGAUAAAUUUAGUACCUUGUAGUUUCAAGAUUAUGUAGUAUGAACAAACAAGGAUACACAACCAUACUCCUCAAAUACACGUGUAUGUGUGCGUGUGCUUAUAUAUAUAUAUAUAUAUAUAUAUAUAUAUAUAUAUAUAUAUAUGUAUAUGUGUGUGUGUGUGUGUCUGUGUGUGUGUGUGCGUAUGUGUGUGUGUGUGUGUGUGUGUAUAUGUGUGUGUGUGUAGAAUAAUGUCUGUAUAUAUGCAUACACAGAAAU
rnacentral:lncRNA from 1 species